AGCUCGUUAUUCGCUAGUCGCUACGUUGCCUCUUUCAAAAUCAAAACUAGGGUUAGAGGCUUAGAGCUGCGGCGCCCCCAAACCCCAUUAUCACACCAAGAAUCCAAGAUCUGGAGUAUCACCGAGAAUCACCGAAUCAGAAUUAAAUCUAUUUGCUGUCAUGUCGACUUCACAAUCGGCUCCUAACUCUCAGACGGCUCCUAAUUCUCAGUCCAUUCCAGAACAACAAUCUGAACCAUCUUCAACACUGGAGCUACAAUCAAAUUAUUAAUUUAAUUUUGUUUUUUCGGAUUUUCGGGUAUCGGAUUUCGGGUUUCGGGUUUUGGUUAUCGGAUUUCAGUUAUAUCCAAAUCAAAUCCAAAUAAAAUCGGGUUUCGGGUAUACCCGAAUCCGAUCCGAAAUCCGUUGGAUCGGAUUUGGAUAUCAGUUUUCGGGUAAUUUUCGGGUUCGGAUCGGGUUCGGGUACAGUAUAAAAUUUCGGGUUUGGAUAUGGAUAUAGUCAUAUCCGAUCCAAUCCGACCCGAUUGCCAUCCCUAUUGAUGGGUGUAUUCAUUCAUCACCAUAUAUUUAUGGACACAGAAUCUGUGUACAUAUGUACAGAUAUACAGGUAUUAUUUAAUGGUGGUGACAGAUGAAUGUAGCUAAGAGGUUCUUGAAUAAAGAGAAUUAAUGGGGUUUGGAAUUGUUUAGUGGGUGAAGAGUGGUCAGAAGCACAUGCAUGUCGAUCCCCAUAUGCUUGUGUUGGGUAGGACUUGAGACUAGUUGGGAGUAGAAACAUUAUAUUAUGAGACAGAUGAUUCACAAUCUCACAUGCUCAUUCAUCUUUUUUGAAACAGCACUGGCUCCAUCUCCAGCACCCAGUGACACAUUUAUGAAAUAUGUAGGUCAUGUAUAUGCAAAAUCUACAGCUCUUCUUUUUAAUUUUAGAACAGUGAUUUAAGAAUUUAUGAAAUAUGUAGGUCAUGUA